rnacentral:rRNA from 1 species
GACGAACGCUGGCGGCGUGCUUAACACAUGCAAGUCGAACGGAAAGGCCCUGCUUUUGUGGGGUGCUCGAGUGGCGAACGGGCGAGUAACACGUGAGUAACCUGCCCUUGACUUUGGGAUAACUUCAGGAAACUGGGGCUAAUACCGGAUAGGAGCUCCUGCUGCAUGGUGGGGGUUGGAAAGUUUCGGCGGUUGGGGAUGGACUCGCGGCUUAUCAGCUUGUUGGUGGGGUAGUGGCUUACCAAGGCUUUGACGGGUAGCCGGCCUGAGAGGGUGGCCGGCCACAUUGGGACUGAGAUACGGCCCAGACUCCUACGGGAGGCAGCAGUGGGGAAUAUUGCACAAUGGGCGGAAGCCUGAUGCAGCAACGCCGCGUGCGGGAUGACGGCCUUCGGGUUGUAAACCGCUUUCGCCUGUGACGAAGCGUGAGUGACGGUAAUGGGUAAAGAAGCACCGGCUAACUACGUG